UAUAUGGCCAUGGUACUUCCUGUAUAUGGCCAUGGUACUUCUUGUAUAUGGCCAUGGUACUUCCUGUAUAUGGCCAUGGUACUUCUUGUAUAUAGCCAUGGUACUUCCUGUAUAUAGCCAUGGUACUUCCUGUAUAUAGCCAUGUGAUUUUGACAGGUUAUUGUCAUUACUUGUGUCACUAUAUUGUUGGAAAUGGAGUCAGAAGUAAGCACUUCACGGUUAGUCUGCACCUGUUGUUUAUGAAUCAUUUGACAAAUACAUUUUGAUUUGAAGACUUUAGAUAUAUUUGAUGCUACGUGCGCACACACACACACGUUUCUGGGUUAAGAAUAGUAGCACAAUGUGUUAAAUGGCAAAUUGUCUUCUGAUAUUUGUUCAAAUGCUCAAAGAAUUAAUUUAUUUCCAAGUUGCAGCUUCUGAUUUAUGCAUUUUCUGACAAUGUCACAUUUCACUCCUCCUCGGGGAGGUUGGAACAUUUCACUCCUCCUCGGGGAGGUUGGAACAUUUCACUCCUCCUCGGGGAGGUUGGAACAUUUCACUCCUCCUCGGGGAGGUUGGAACAUUUCACUCCUCCUCGGGGAGGUUGGAACAUUUCACUCCUCCUCGGGGAGGUUGGAACAUUUCACUCCUCCUCGGGGAGGUUGGAACAUUUCACUCCUCCUCGGGGAGGUUGGAACAUUUCACUCCUCCUCGGGGAGGUUGGAACAUUUCACUCCUCCUCGGGGAGGUUGGAACAUUUCACUCCUCCUCGGGGAGGUUGGAACAUUUCACUCCUCCUCGGGGAGGUUGGAACAUUUCACUCCUCCUCGGGGAGGUUGGAACAUUUCACUCCUCCUUGGGGAGGUUGGAACAUUUCACUCCUCCUUGGGGAGGUUGGAACAUUUCACUCCUCCUUGGGGAGGUUGGAACAUUUCACUCCUCCUUGGGGAGGUUGGAACAUUUCACCCCUUGAGACGAAGUCACA